AUCCAGUUGACGAAUCCCAAAUCGGACGAAACGUGCUUCUUGGAU
rnacentral:hammerhead_ribozyme from 1 species